GCGCCGUUGGUGUAGAGGCAACACACAGCCUGAUCUUGAUGGGGUUGGUUCUCGACAUAUUGAGGUUGGGUCUUGGGUUCGACUCUCGGACGGCGCA